AUUGAACGCUGGCGGCAGGCCUAACACAUGCAAGUCGAACGAGUGGCGGACGGGUGAGUAAUGUCUGGGAAACUGCCCGAUGGCGGGGGAUAACUACUGGAAACGGUAGCUAAUACCGCAUACCAUCGGAUGUGCCCAGAUGGGAUUAGCUUGUAGGUGAGGUAAAGGCUCACCUAGGCGACGAUCCCUAGCUGGUCUGAGAGGAUGACAAGCCACACUGGAACUGAGACACGGUCCAGACUCCGACGUGAGGCAGCCGGGGGGAAUAUUGCACGAGGGGCGCAAGCCUGAUGCAGCCAUGCCGGGUGUAUGAAGAAGGCCUUCGGUUUGUAAAGUACUUUCAGCGGGUAGUCGUUACCCGCAGAAGAAGCACCGGCUAACUCCGUGCCAGGAGCCGCGGUAAUAC
rnacentral:rRNA from 1 species